AAAUUCCUACUGUGUUCGAGAAGUGGAUUUAUGUUGACCCAGCACUUUUUUUUAGGGAACUUAUCCCUUCUUGUGGAAUGAUGUUCAUUUGUAAAAAUGAAAACAAGAAGCAAGAAGGCAGUGCCCACCUGCUGAGAGCGGGUUAUCUUUUAAAUUCAUCAUACGGUACAGUAGGAUUUUA
rnacentral:other from 1 species